GAGCAACAGCUUCUCUCUCUCUCUCUCUCUCUCUCUCUCUCUGUGUGUGUGUGUGUGUGUGUGAGAGAGAGAGAGAGAGAGAGAGAGAGAGAGAGAGAGAGAGAGAGAUUGGGCUG